rnacentral:lncRNA from 1 species
GAAAAUUUUAGUAAAUUAUAGUCAAUUUUUAUGCAAUGAAACUAUAUAGCUCUUUUUGUUAGAAAUUGUCUUACUAACUAAGCUGCUGGUGGUUCUGUGACGAAGUAGCUCCUGUUGGCUUCCCUUACACCGGGUCAGACACAGGACAUUAAUUAAGGCUGUGUGUGGUGUUUCUGAAAGGUGAGGAGACUGGGCAUUCUGUCUUUUACUCUACAGAUACAUCGUGGGAGACUCAAAGAUUAAAAUGUGGCCACUCACUGUGGAUCAGAAGCAGAAUCUCACAUCAUAACCCCAAAUGACCUGUUACUCACCAUGUGGCCCAGCUGUCUUCAAACUCACCAGCCUCCUGCCUUAGCCUUCUAAAUGCUUGGAUUACAGGCAUGACCCACCAUAACUGGCUUUGUUUUAGUUUCAGAGAAGAUGAAACUGAUGUGCGUCAAAAAGUAAACUACCCACAUUUUAACUGGGCACAUUCCUGUCAAUCUGAUGAGAAUCUAUUUCAUACCCUGCUUUAGCUGGUAGUCUGUCAAGGAAAUGAGCUGAACAUGUCUGUGUACAGCUUUUGUGCCAUCCCUGGAUGAGCGAGCUGUCUGCCUCUAUGUUCUCCACAAAAUGGAAUAUAGCUGUACACCCAAGCCAAGUUAUGGAGGCUGGGAAGACCUAGAAUGUGGCAUCACUAUUUGCUGAAAUUUUUAAUAUAAUGCCUCUUAGCCUGGUUUGGAGAAAACGUCACAGAGAGGCACCAUUUGUUGUGGUUUUACAUGAAAAUUUUCUGACCCUGAACCUGGUUUGAUGGAAAUCAUUUGCUGAGGAAACCAUGCCGAUUACCGACCGAGCUCUCAAUGGAAAAAUGCAGUCGGCGUGAACCACGCACGAACACAGCAGAGAAAGAAGAAAACACACACCACGAGGAACCCUAAUAGGACAAUACAUUAUAAGUCACAGUGCUACGGAGAAACCCAGUAGCCACAUGGAAGCAGAGACCAUGCAUAUGCAUCUACUCCGCAGCUCUGUGAAUGUCAGCAGCUCCCACGGACUGGAGAUCCCGUGAGAUCCCGUGAGAUCUCACCCAUAGCCUCAUGGUACAUCCACUUGGUGUGCUGGGAGAGUCAGGAUGAGGACCUGAGAAGAACAGCAGCUUGAACCUGACUUCAUUUAACAGCCCACUGCCCUCUUGCCAAGAACCCAUCACAGACCUUCCCAGAAGAGAGGGAUGAGCCUCACCUAUGAAUAAGUCCUCAGAAACUCAAAUUUGAUUCUAAUGGAUUGUUUUCUCAGAAAGACUGAGCAUGUCCCCCCACAUCUCUGUCAUUUCCCACAGUAGUAACCUCUGCAGAUGCCACAUAGAAAACAAAACAAAACAAAAAAACAUGAGGUUGGUGGGCAGAUAGGCAGGGUAUAAACAAACAGCCUUGUAACCCAGAAGCUGUGUGAUAUACAGUAAACUUCACAACACUGAAAAGAUGUCCUAUCUGUUAAAAUGGGGUAAUAACAACUACCCGAAUGUUUAGGAAUAGAACUUCAAUAAAUGAUACAUUUUAUAGUACAGCAGACCAUCCUGUAAAGGUUUCAUCCUUCACUGUGGUGAUAAAUAUCCCAAACCACAUUGAAAAGCAUUGCAUCUACAUUUAUCUACACUGUAACUGUACUGUAAAUCAUGGGGGAGGGGAGAAUCAUAAAAACACCACCUGUCACCGUGUCAUUAAAGCAAGUUGGAAGUGAUACUUACAGAAACACAGCAAGAGCACCCCCAGUCACACAGUUCAAUCUCUUAGCAAGCGUUUUCUUUCUAGCCCAGUGGUUCUCAGUUUGGAAUUUUUGGCACUGCCUAGAGAUAGUUUUGUUGUUAAAACUGAGAAAAGAGCCGGGCGUGGUGGCACACGCCUUUAAUCCCAGCACUCAGGAGGCAGAGGCAGG